rnacentral:rRNA from 1 species
ACUCAAAUGAAUAGACGGGGGCCCGCACAAGCAGCGGAGCGUGCGGUUCAAUUCGAUGCGACACGAAGAACCUUACCAGGGUUUGACAUGGAUGUGGUAGGGAAGGGAAACUGGACCGACUCGCAAGAGAGCAUUCACAGGUGAUGCAUGGCUGUCGUCAGCUCGUGCCGUGAGGUGUUGGGUUGAGUCCCGCAACGAGCGCAACCCCUGUCGCCAGUUACAAGUGUCUGGCGAGACUGCCGACGAUUCGUCGGAGGAAGGCGGGGACGAGGUCAAGUCAGCAUGUCCUUUAUAUCCUGGGCGACACGCACGCUACAAUGGGUGUCAAUAGAGCGUUGCCAAGCCGUCAGGCGGAGCAAAUCGCACAAAAGCACCCUCAGUUCAGAUUGACGGCUGCAACCCGCCGUCAUGAAGUCGGAGUUGCUAGUAAACGCGCGUCAGCUAUAGUGCGUUGAAUACGUUCCCGGGCCUUGCACACACCGCCCGU